CAGAUUCCCACGACAUCUGGAUUCACGCAUCCCGAGUGAAGUUGUCCAAAGAGGGGAACCAAGGAAGACAACACCACUCCUCACUCGGAUACAGAAGAAUUUCCCCUUAGCGAAGCAUCAUGGCUUUCACACCAUAUCGUAGAUUGAGAGGAUCAUACGAACCUGAGAUCAAGAUUAUGUUUUGCGCUAUGCCUUCUGGAGUUGCUAUACUCCCUCUGCUAUUGUUCCUUG